UCUCCGUUGGUGAGCCAGCGGAGGGAUCAUUACAGAGUUUUCACAACUCCCAACCCUUGCGAACCGUACCCAUUCUGUUCUUGUUGCUUCCGGCGGGGGGGACGGGGGGGCCCGAAACGGCCUCCCCGCCCCGCCCGCCGGGGGCGGCGGGCCCUACGAACCUUUAUAUCUCAACCACCAGACACCGUCUGAGAAAACAAACAAAAUAAUCAAAACUUUCAACAACGGAUCUCUUGGCUCUG
rnacentral:misc_RNA from 1 species